AAGAACACUAAACAUCUUUUGAAACCACAUCCAUCAUGGGAUAGAUAUAAGAAGUGGAUCUUAUAAAGAAUGGAACAAGAAGAAAUUACAACAGGGCUGCAUCUUCUUCAAGGAUUCAAGGGAUUGUCAAGGACAACAAUUCCAAAACUGAAUGAAUCUAGAAUAUGUACCGCAAAUGGACAAGCAUUGAAGGUUGAAGCUAUUGGUGAAUGUAGACUACUAUUUAAAAACAAUUAUGUCUUAACUCUUAAGUCUUAACAAUGUGUAUUAUAUACCUAGAAUAAAGGAGAAACUUGAUGUGAUGUAGGUUCUCAAAUUGUCACUGAAAACAAUGUUUCCUUCUAUGCAAAUAAAGAUUGUAUGUUAUUUUA